UACCACACCAACCCCCACAGUGUAGAGGAGAGGUAGUCAGAUUCCACACCAACCCCCACAGUGUAGAGGAGAGGUAGUCAGAUUCCACACCAACCCCCACAGUGUAGAGGAGAGGUAGUCAGAUUCCACACCAACCCCCACAGUGUAGAGGAGAGGUAGUCAGAUUCCACACCAACCCCCACAGUGUAGAGGAGAGGUAGUCAGAUUCCACACCAACCCCCACAGUGUAGAGGAGAGGUAGUCAGAUUCCACACCAACCCCCACAGUGUAGAGGAGAGGUAGUCAGAUUCCACACCAACCCCCACAGUGUAGAGGAGAGGUAGUCAGAUUCCACACCAACCCCCACAGUGUAGAGGAGAGGUAGUCAGAUUCCACACCAACCCCCACAGUGUAGAGGAGAGGUAGUCAGAUUCCACACCAACCCCCACAGUGUAGAGGAGAGGUAGUCAGAUUCCACACCAACCCCCACAGUGUAGAGGAGAGGUAGUCAGAUUCCACACCAACCCCCACAGUGUAGAGGAGAGGUAGUCAGAUUCCACACCAACCCCCACAGUGUAGAGGAGAGGUAGUCAGAUACCACACCAACCCCCACAGUGUAGAGGAGAGGUAGUCAGAUUCCACACCAACCCCCACAGUGUAGAGGUAGUCAGAUACCACACUAACCCCCACAGUGUAGAGGUAGUCAGAUACCACACCAACCCCCACAGUGUAGAGGUAGUCAGAUACCACACCAACCCCCACAGUGUAGAGGAGAGGUAGUCAGAUACCACACCAACCCCCACAGUGUAGAGGAGAGGUAGUCAGAUACCACACCAACCCCCACAGUGUAGAGGUAGUCCGAUACCACACCAACCCCCGCAGUGUAGAGGUAGUCCGAUACCACACCAACCCCCACAGUGUAGAGGAGAGGUAGUCCGAUACCACACCAACCCCCAGUGUAGAGGAGAGGUAGUCAGAUACCACACCAACCCCCACAGUGUAGAGGAGAGGUAGUCAGAUACCACACCAACCCCCACAGUUUAGAGGAGAGGUAGUCAGAUACCACACCAACCUCCACAGUUUAGGGGAGAGUUAAGAUGUCCGCAUGCAUAUCAAGAAGCUGAUUAAAUGGCAUGAUCAUUACAUAGAUGCACCUUGUGCUGGGGACAAAAAAGGUCACUAAAAUGUGCAGUUGUGUCACACAACACAAUGCCACAGAUGUCUCAAGUUGAGAGAGCGUGCAACUGGCAUACUGACUGACGGAAUGUCCACCAGAGCUAUUGCCAGAGAAUUAAAUGUUAAUUUCUCUACCAUAAGCCGCCUACAACCUUGUUUUAAAGAAUUUGGAGGUACGUCAAACCGGCCUCAUAACCGAAGACCACGUGUAUGGCGUCGUGUUCACGAGCAGUUUGCUGAUGUCAACCUUGUGAACAGAGUGCCCCAUGGUGGCGGCGGGGUUAUGGUAUGGGCAGACAUAAGCUACGAACAGACAAAACAAUUGCCUUUUAUCAAUGGAAAGUUGAAUGCAUAGAGAUACCGCGACCAACCCCCACAGUUUAGGGGAGAGUUAAGAUGUCCGCAUGUAUAUCAAGAAGCUGAUUAAACGGCAUGAUCAUUACAUACAGUUGAAGUCGGAAGUUUACAUACACUUAGGUUCAAAUUUGUUUUUCAACCACUCUACAAAUUUCUUGUUAACAAACUAUAGUUUUGGCAAGUCGGUUAGGACAUAUACUUUGUGCAUGACACAAGUCAUUUUUCCAACAAUUGUUUACAGACAGAUUAUUUAAUUGUAUCACAAUUCCAGUGGGUCAGAAGUUUACAUACACUAAGUUGACUGUGCCUUUAAACAGCUUGGAAAAUUCCAAAAAAUGUCAUGGCUUUAGAAGCUUCUGUUAGGCUAUGUGACAUCAUUUGAGUCAAUUGGAGGUGUACCUGUGGAUGCAUUUCAAGGCCAACCUUCAAACUCGGUGCCUCUUUGCUUGACAUCAUGUGAAAAUCAAAAGAAAUCAGCCAAGAUCUCCACAAGUCUGGUUCAUCCUUGGGAGCAAUGUCCAAAUGCCUGAAGGUACCACGUUCAUCUGUACAAACAAUAGUACGCAAGUAUAAACACCAUGGGACCACGCAGCCGUCAUGCCGCUCAGGAAGAAGACGCGUUCUGUCUCCUAGAGAUGAACGUACUUUGGUUGGAAAAGUGCAAAUAAAUUCCAGAACAAUAGCAAAGGACCUUGUGUAGAUGCUGGAGGAAACAGGUACAGAAGUAUCUAUAUCCACAGUAAAACGAGUCCUAUAUUGACAAACCUGAAAGGCCGCUCAGCAAGGAAGAAGGCACAGCUCCAAA